GAUGAACGCUGGCGGCGUGCCUAAUACAUGCAAGUCGAACGAACAGACGAGGAUCUUUCUCCUCUGACGUUAGCGGCGGACGGGUGAGUAACACGUGGAGAACCUACCUAUAAUACUGGGAUAACUUCGGGAAACCGGAGCUAAUACCGGAUAAUAUAUUGAACCGCAUGGUUCAAUAGUUAAAGACGGUUUUGCUGGCACUUAUAGAUGUAUCCGCGCCGCAUGAGCUAGUUGUUAAGGUAAGGGCUUACGCAGGCAACGAGGCGUAGCCGACCUGAGAGGGUGAGCGGCGACACUGGAACAGAGACACGCUCCCGACUCCUCCGGGAGGCAGAAGUAGGGAAUAUUCCGCACUGGGGGAACGCCUGAGGUGGAAACGCGGCGUGAGUGAUGAAGGUCUCCGCAUCGUAUGACUCUGUUAUGAGAGAGGAACAAAUGUGUCAGUAACUAUGCGCGUCUUGACGAUACCUGAUAAGAAAGCCACGGCUAACUACGUG
rnacentral:rRNA from 1 species